UGGGCCCACCAUGUUUUCGUAGAGUCUACUCUGAUCUUUGAAAUCUUACUUUUCGUAAGAGUUGUGAAUCAUUGCUCUUAUAUGCUAAGAACUCAGGUGAGAUCUCAAUUUCUUAGCUAGAGCUAUGGCGCCAUUAUUACCAUAAUACAGUAUUGUGCCAUCUCAUGAUAUUAUAUCUAGUUCUGUAACAAACCAAAAUAUUUUCUUAGCUACCUCAUAAGCAAUGACAUACUCGGCUUCUAAAAUCUGCAAUGAUCGGUUGUUUAAAACUCUUCUAAUUUAUCGAAUCCAAUUGCUUAAGAAAAUACAUCCUGAUGUAGACUCUCUACCAC
rnacentral:lncRNA from 1 species